rnacentral:lncRNA from 1 species
AGUAGUUGACUGUAGUUUUGAGGCGAUUAUGUGUAGGGAUGUUGGGAAUAAUAUCUUUUAAUUUUAUCAUUGUCGUUGUUUUAUACAUUUAUUUUAUUUUGCUCUAUAUUAGUAGCAGAAAGAAAGCCUUGGUAAAAUACCAGGAUCCGAAGAACCGAAACGAACUUGAUUUGAAAGUAAUACUCAACACAAACUAAAACUGAUUAAGCAUUGAGAUGGAUCCAAAAUUUUAAUAUCCGAAUAACCAUAUCCGAAUCCGAUCUAAAAUGAAAUAUUUUGGAUCGCAAAAAUAUCUAAAUUAUAAUUAUAUACUUAAAUAUACUAAAUAAUUUUAAUUUUAUACCUAUUAGAUAUUCAAAAAUAUGAAAAUAUCUAAAAAUUAUCAAAUUAGUCAUAAGUAAAUAUCUAAAAAUAACAAAAAUGUUCAAAAUACUAAAAAUAUAUAUUUGUUCUCCAUCCAAAUAUUUAAACUGGACUAAUUUUUAUGUAAGUUUAUGUAUUUAAUCUUACAUU